rnacentral:rRNA from 1 species
CGGACGGGUGAGUAACGCGUGGGUAACCUGCCUUAUACAGGGGGAGUAACAGUUAGAAAUGACUGCUAAUACCGCAUAAGCGCACAGGAUUGCAUGAUCUGGUGUGAAAAACUACCGGUGGUAUAAGAUGGACCCGCGUCUGAUUAGCCAGUUGGCAGGGUAACGGCCUACCAAAGCGACGAUCAGUAGCCGGCCUGAGAGGGUGAACGGCCACAUUGGGACUGAGACACGGCCCAAACUCCUACGGAGGCAGCAUG